AAAACAUUGACUACUAAAAGGCAGACUGCGUUGGAUAAUCCAGAACACUGUAUAAGCGAAUGUUGGAUAAGUGAGAUUCUACUGUAAUAUGAAAUAAUUACUGUGGUAAUCCAGUCCAACCCAAUUCUGCCAAGGAGGACACAAUCCAAGCACGCCCAACAGAUAGCCACCCAGCCUCUCAAUAAUAAUACAGUAGAGUCUCACUUAUCCAACACUCACUUAUCCAAUGUUCUAGAUUAUCCAACACAUUUUUGUAGUCAAUGUUUUCAAUAUAUCAUGAUAUUUUGGUGCUAAAUUCGUAAAUACAGUAAUUACAACAUAACAUUACUGCAUAUUGAACUACUUUUUCUGUCAAAUUUGUUGUAUAACAUGAUGUUUUGGUGCUUAAUUUGUAAAAUCAUAACCUAUUUUGAUGUUUAAUAGGCUUUUUCUUAAUCUCUCCUUAUUAUCCAACAUAUUCACUUAUCCAACAUUCUGCCGGCCCAUUUAUGUUGGAUAAGUGAGACUCUACUGUAAUAAUAAUACAGAACAUCAUACAAUCAUAAGGUUAGGAGACACCCCUAAGGAUCAUCCAGUUCAACUUCCUUCCACCUUGCAGGACGAUACAAUCCAAGCACUCCCAACAGAUGGCCAGCCAGCCUCUCAAUAAUAAUAAUAAGAAGAAGAAUAAGAAUAUCAUACAAUCCUAAGGUUAGCAGAUACCCCUAAGGAUCAUCCAGUUCAACUUCCUUAUAUCAUGCAGGAGGACACAAUCCAACCACUCCUGACAGAUGGCCAUCCAAUAUCUGCACAAUAAUAAUACACAUCGAAUCAUAGCAUCAGACAGUUAGGAGACACCCCUAAAGGCCAUCCAGUCCAACCCAAUUCUGCCAUGCAGGACACAAUCCAAGCACUCCCAACAGAUGGCCACCCAGCCUCUCAAUACCACCACCACCACCACCACCACUACUACUACUACUACUACUACUACUAAUAAUAAUAAUAACAUCAUCAUCAUACAAUCCAAAGGUUUGGAGUGACCCCUAAGGAUCAUCCAGCUCAACUUCCUUCUACCAUGCAGGAGGACACAAUCCAAGCACUCCUGACAGAUGGCCAUCCAGCCGCGUGGCCGGGCACAGUUAGUAUCUAUAUAUAUAUAUAUAUAAAUGUUCUGACAACUAAAACUAAACACCCAAAACCCACAAAACUUGGUCACAAAAGACAUGGUCAUCCCCGCUGUGUUUAGACAUAAAAACAAAAACAAUUCAAACUGGAAGUCACUCAAAACCCUAAAAACCCGGAAAACUGUACUGUGCACUUGAGUGGAGGAGCCCCCACCCUUGUCAAACCCAUGUCAAUGAAGGUCAGGGACUUCUCUGAGGGGAUCUCGCGAGACUUGUAGAGUGCCUCCCGCCCUGCCGCACGCUGCAGCACCUGCCCCCUCCCCAAAUCAACAGCGCCUGUGUGUCAGUUCUUGGCUGGUAAUGGCGGUGUCUGGCUGAAGGAGCUUCUCGGGUCUCUUUCUCCGGCUUCUCCAGCCUGGAAGGCCUGCGGGAUGAGCCGGCGACCUCCGUCGCUGCCACCGGGAAGGAGAAGCAAAGAAGGAAGGUGGCGAUAGGACAGGUGCCUGACAGUGUCUGCAUAGCAGGUACCAAAAUGAAAUUAAUGAUAUUACAAUGUCUGGACAUUUUCGUUUGAGAAGAAACAUGCUGAAAGCAUCCAUAACCAACUAGCAGUGCGAAGAUGCCCAUGGCCUCACUGAUACUGCUGCAGUUUUAUAAAUGGCUUCAAUGUGGUAUUGUUUAUUUUUCUUAACAGUAAUAUUCCAAUCUCUGCCAUACUGAAUUUACCCUUCUAUAAAGCAGGGUUGGGGAAAUUCUUUGCCCUCAGACUACAUGAUUUAAUUGCUUAAAAAGAAGGGAAGAAGGAAGAAGGGGAAGAAAAGGAUGGACUUCCCCAUUAUUGGAUGUAGUCCUGUAUUUCGUAGACUUCUGGUUGGUCAUAUUGUGAAGCUUGGAGGCAUGGUCACCUCAGGUGGUAGAUCACAAUGACUUUGCAACCUCGCCCCUUUCUAAAAACAGGCCAUUUUCCUAGUCUACCCUCCCACAGUGCUUUGGGUCUAAAGGGCCUUCUGAGCCAAGAUAUGUGAGAAGUGAAAACUACAUGGACUACAGAUAUAGAUUAAAAACUGGAAGCAGUACUUUGCUAUGGACCAGGUUGUACACCAUCCUGUCUGCUCACAGUGGUUUUGAAGUCCUCUAUGCUAUUCUGUGGGCUGGAAGCAUACCAUAGAACCUCACUGGAGGACCACAAGCACAUCUGGGGAGAGUAUCUUUUGGAGUGAGGG